GUUCUUCUGGAGAAGGAAUAGAUAUUGGAAAUCUGUACUUUUUUGCACACCAUUUUUUAUUUCUUAAUUGAUCAUAAUUCUGCAUACAUAUGAUGUUCACAUCCAAUUAUUUCUUUUUCUUGAAGCCACCCCUAUAAGAAUGUGCUGUUCAGUGAAGAACUACCUCACAAACUUGCGCAGAUGGGUAGGAUGAAAGCAUCUAUGGAAAUUCCUUGCCUGGAAAAUGGAAAGGCUAAGGGGAAGAAAGAACCUAGAGGAUGGGAGCUUAAAUUUGCAAGGAGAAGUUUCUUCCCAUAUAGGAGAUCUGUCUUAACAUCUCGGUUUAUUAUGAAGUGCUACUCCAUUAAGGAGCAUAAGAAGGGUAUUAAUAUAUUGAGUAAAUCAACUGGUGAAGCAUCAAUAGACAUGAGCAAAAUUCUGCCACCAAAAGUUAAUUAUCAACCCAAACGGAUGUUUGGUACUACGGCAUCCAUGCUCUUGAAAGUUUUAAGGAAUGCAUGAGUAGGAUGGUAUGUAUUCCGCGAUUUUGUUAGAAGGUGCAUAUUAUACAUCAUGUAUCGAAGGAAAUAUAUUAUUUGAUGAACCUUAGGACUGAACAUAUAUUUGUAGGUUUUGUUUUGUCACUUGAACAUAUCGAGGUUUGUGGUAGUGUUGCAUGUCAUGGUUUUGGCAGCUAUUUGCACGUUUUCUUCUCGCUCUUUUGCUCACCUCACAUUUGGAGGCAAUUACAUUUGUAAAAAGCAUAGAUGCACAAUUCAUCUCAUGACAAUCCAAGUAAAUUGCACUGGCAGACCGGGUUUGUCCGUCUUCCCUGAAUUCAGUGGAAUCAGAAUCUCCGACUGCCUAGCAUGUGGUAGCCUUUGAUGAGGCAACAUCUCAUUGAGGGACAUGAUCUAGCUAGGGUGAACUGAUCUGACAUAUGUAGUAUAUACUCAUAUAAAUUCAGCAUGGAUAAUUAUAAUAUCGAUAUUCAAAAUCGGUAAAUCUACAAGUGACCUCCUUUCGCGGCAAGAUGUUUGGCAACGUGAUUGCUCCUCAAGGAGAAGCGAAAGCACUUAAGUGCUCUUCUUUCCUUUGGUAGAUUGUCCUUCAAAUAGAUGUUGUUAUGGGCAUGUCUUAAGUAGAACUUUUAAACUU